rnacentral:rRNA from 1 species
CCUACGGGAGGCAGCAGUGAGGAAUAUUGGUCAAUGGGCGAGAGCCUGAACCAGCCAAGUAGCGUGAAGGAUGAAUGCCCUACGGGUUGUAAACUUCUUUUAUAAAGGAAUAAAGUGAGGAACGUGUGCCUUUUUGUAUGUACUUUAUGAAUAAGGAUCGGCUAACUCCGUGCCAGCCGCCGCGGUACUACGGAGGAUCCGAGCGUUAUCCGGAUUUAUUGGGUUUAAAGGGAGCGUAGAUGGGUUUUUAAGUCAGUUGUGAAAGUUUGCGGCUCAACCGUAAAAUUGCAAUGGAUACUGGCAGCCUUGAGUACAGUUGAGGUAGGCGGAAUUCGAGGUGUAGCGGUGAAAUGCUUAGAUAUAACGAAGAACACCGAGUGCGAAGGCAGCUUACUAAACUGCCACUGACAUUGAUGCACGAAAGUGUGGGUAUCAAACAGGAUUAGAUACCCUUGUAGUC